rnacentral:rRNA from 1 species
AAAUUUAGCCCUAAAUUAUUUUAUAAAUUUCUCCUCCUCAAAUUUAUUAAAUAAAACAUUUUGACUCCUUAAGUAAAGGCGAUUGAAAAAGCUCUAAGCGCUAUAGAAAUAGCACCGCAGAGGUCCCAAUAAAGAAUAAUGAAACAAUUAUAGCUACGUACACCAGAAAAUUUACCUCCUACCUUUGGCAUCAGGGCCUAGCAAGACUUAAUAAGCACAAUGAAAUUUAAGUUUUAAACCCCGAAGCUAGGCGAGCUACUUUAAAACAGCCUAUUGGGCUAACCCGUCUCUGUAGCAAUAGAGUGGGGUGAUUUUUGAGUAGAAGUGAAAAGCCUACCGAGCCUAGAAAUAGCUGGUUAUUCAUGAAAAGAAUAUAAGUUCUGCCUUAAGCACCCCCAAUGAACCUCAACAACAUUCAACGCUUAAGAGUUAUUUAAAUAAGGAACAGCUUAUUUAAGCCAGGACACAACCUAAACAGUAGGGUAAAAUCUUAACACUACCAAGUGGGCCUGAAAGCAGCCACCUUUUAAAACGCGUCAAAGCGUAACCUUAACCCCCAAAUACCAUUAAUUUUCAUGAACCCCUAAUUU